rnacentral:rRNA from 1 species
CCUACGGGAGGCAGCAGUAGGGAAUCUUCCACAAUGGACGCAAGCCUGAUGGAGCAACACCGCGUGAGUGAAGACGGGUUUCGGCUCGUAAAGCUCUGUUGUUGGAGAAGAACAUGCGUGAGAGUAACUGUUCACGCAGUGACGGUAUCCAACCAGAACGGCACGGCUAACGACGUGCCAGCAGCCGCGGUAAUACGUAGGUGGCAAGCGUGAUCCGGAUUUAUUGGGCGUAAAGCGAGCGUAGGCGGUUGCUUAGGGCUGAUGUGAAAGCCUUCGGCUUAACCGAAGAAGUGCAUCGGAAACCGUGCAACUUGAGAGCAGAAGAGGACAGUGGAACUCAAUGUGUAGCGGUGGAAUGCGUAGAGAUAUGGAAGAACACCAGUGGCGAAGGCGGCUUUCUGGUCUGCAACUGACGCUGAGGCUCGAAAGCAUGGGUAGCGAACAGGAUUAGAUACCCGAGUAGUC